rnacentral:rRNA from 1 species
AAAGAACCAACAGGGAUUGCCUUAGUAGCGGCGAGUGAAGCGGCAAAAGCUCAAAUUUGAAAUCUGGCACUUUCAGUGUCCGAGUUGUAAUUUGAAGAAGGUAUCUUUGGGUCUGGCUCUUGUCUAUGUUUCUUGGAACAGAACGUCACAGAGGGUGAGAAUCCCGUGCGAUGAGAUGUCCCAGACCUAUGUAAAGUUCCUUCGAAGAGUCGAGUUGUUUGGGAAUGCAGCUCUAAGUGGGUGGUAAAUUCCAUCUAAAGCUAAAUAUUGGCGAGAGACCGAUAGCGAACAAGUACAGUGAUGGAAAGAUGAAAAGAACUUUGAAAAGAGAGUGAAAAAGUACGUGAAAUUGUUGAAAGGGAAGGGCUUGAGAUCAGACUUGGUAUUUUGUAUGUUACUCUCUCGGGGGUGGCCUCUACAGUUUACCGGGCCAGCAUCAGUUUGAGCGGUAGGAUAAGUGCAAAGAAAUGUGGCACUGCUUCGGUAGUGUGUUAUAGUCUUUGUCGAUACUGCCAGCUUAGACUGAGGACUGCGGCUUCGGCCUAGGAUGUUGGCAUAAUGAUCUUAAGUCGCCCGU